rnacentral:misc_RNA from 1 species
AUGAGUUAGGGUCUCUCUGGCCCGACCUCCCAACCAUUUGUUUACUGAACCCAUGUUGCUUCGGCGGACCCGCCCAGAUUGGCCGCCGGAGGGCUGCCGAGAGGCGUCCCUCUGGCCUGCGUCCGCCGAGAGCCUAACUCCGAAAACUCUUGAUUAAAACUAUGCCGUGUCUAAGUGAUUAAAUAAAUGAAAAGCA